CUGUCCCACGGGAGGCAGCAGUGAGGAAUAUUGGUCAAUGGCCGGAAGGCUGAACCAGCCAAGCCGCGUGAGGGAGGAAGGCGCAGAGCGUCGCAGACCUCUUUUGCCGGGGGACAAAAGGCCGGACUCGUCCGGUCCUGAGGGUACCCGGAGAAAAAGCAUCGGCUAACUCCGUGCCAGCAGCCGCGGUAAUACGGAGGAUGCGAGCGUUAUCCGGAUUCAUUGGGUUUAAAGGGUGCGCAGGCGGCCUGUUAAGUCAGCGGUAAAAGCCCGGGGCUCA
rnacentral:rRNA from 1 species